UUUCAAGCCAUCAUGCAUCUACAUCUUAAUUACAAUUAAGAAAUAUCUUCCUGGCCGCAUGCAGUGGCUCAUGCCUGUAAUCCCAGCACUUUGGGAGACCGAGGUGGGUGGGUCACGAGGUCAAGAGUUCAAGACCAGCCUGGCCAAGAUGGUGAAACCCUGUCUCUACUAAAAAAAAAAAAAGAAAGAAAUAUCUUUUAGCUGUUUACCUACUUCCUGGAAAAAUAGUAGCUCUCUGUAGCAUUACGGAGUUUCAG
rnacentral:lncRNA from 1 species